rnacentral:lncRNA from 1 species
CUUCCCCUCAGUUACCUUCUCGUCCUGUUUGGGUUUUGGUAUGAUCAAUAAUGGAGAGAGAAUGUACAAAAAGUAUCUGAAAUUCAGACACCCAGAUUCGAGUGUGUCUCAGCCACUGUGUUGUAGUGCUGCGCGGUGUUGUGCUUCCAUUGUUAGGACGCGCACGUUGACUUAGACGCAGAGGUGUGGGGGUCCCGUCACAGAGCACUGGUUUCGGAGGUGGCUUCGCUGCCUCUGGGACCCUUUGGCAUGCCGAAUGCAUCAGGGUGAGAUGUACCGGGUACACAGAUUUGCACCCCAACAGACGUCGGAUGUAGAAAACACAUGACUCCGCACACAGAUAUACUUGGCUCUUUGCAGUAUUGCUACUGGUUCUUGCAUAGGACAUGAGAAUUCUGAUCAAAUCUAUUAUGUGUCAUUCCCAGAGGAAAAAAAAUGUGUGUUUAUAGUUGUGUUCACUGCGUUAUGGAGUAUAUUCUUUGCAGGAGGACCUUCUGUCCUGAUUAGGCAUUGAUAAGAACUGACUCCUCCACUUAACAUCUCACAGCUCUGGUAACCGGGAGAAUUUUCCACCAGCCACCUUCAUGUGUUUCAAACUUUGCUUCCCCCCAACUUCUCAUGCACUUCUGUCACCAGGCACUCUGGGACCCAUUCACAUCCCUGAAACCUCUGGCCCCACACCCUUGACUACACAGAGAAGCCACUGAGCCAUGUCCACAACAGCCCACUACACCUAAACUAAGUGUAGGCAUCUGACAGCAGAAAGGGAGCAGAAAGAGACCGUAGUCUCAGCGAUCUGCGGUGGAAGAGCUUAAUUUUUCAAAAUUUACAAAAACAUGAGCACAUUGCUGGGACCCGCCUAGGGGCCCAGGCUAGUGAGGGACCCUCCAUGGUGGUUCCAACUCCACUUAGUUCUCCCCUCUCCCCCAUGAUGGGAGCUGCCCUCCAAAACACACCAAGCCCCCUUCCACUCCCACAUCUAGCCCACAGGCCUUCCCCUUCAACCACCUCCCCUUGUCUCCACUCUGUUCUUCCCCACAGAUACUUCUGGCAUGUACAGCCGUGGCGUCUGCCCAUGGCCCCAAUGAGGCCUCCAAGCGCAAAGCCAGCAACACGGCAGCCGUGGUAAAGGCUCUAGACGGUCACCCAUUAGUCAUUUGUGUUACUAUUGCAUUAUUUUUGAGUCAGUGUUGCCUCUUUUUAACUUAUGCUCAUUAUCCUGUCCUCCGUGUUUCAGAUGAGAGCCCUUCAGGUCGGGCCCACCUGUCUCACCAGCCUCUCUGGACUCAGCCUCCUGGGUUUGUCCACAACAGCCUCUGUCAGUGCUGCUCAGGGCGCCGGUUGGCACAGAGGCGAGGCAGAACGGAAGUCCUCUGCAUUGCAGCGCACGCUGUCGAGGGCGCCUGA